GUACGAGAAAUCUCCUGCUUGCAGGAGAGAGUAAAGUGGCGAACGGGUGAGUAACGCGUGGGUAAUCUACUCCGAAUCUGGGAUAACAUUGCGAAAGCGAUGCUAAUACCGGAUGGCAUCUUGCGACCAAGGUUGUCGAGAUUAAAGGUGGCCUCUACAUGUAAGCUACUGUUUGGAGAUGAGCCCGCGUGCCAUUAGCUUGUUGGUAGAGUAACGGCCUACCAAGGCAACCAUGGCUAGCUGAUCUGAGAGGAUGAUCAGCCACACUGGAACUGAGACACGGUCCAGACUCCUACGGGAGGCAGCAGUGAGGAAUCUUGCGCAAUGGGGGAAACCCUGACGCAGCAACGCCGUGUGAGUGAUGAAGGCUUUCGAGUCGUAAAGCUCUGUCAAGUGGGAAGUACCUGUCGGAUGUUAAUACCAUCAGGCACUGACGGUACCACUGGAGGAAGCACCGGCUAACUCCGUG
rnacentral:rRNA from 1 species